AGUCGUACGAGAGUUUUUAACUCAAGUGGCGGACGGGUGAGUAACACGUAAGAAUUUACCUUUAGGAGGGGGACAACAACGGGAAACUGCUGCUAAUACCCCAUAUGCUUUCGAGUGAAAUGGAUUUUUCCGCCCAGAGAGAAGCUUGCGGCUGAUUAGCUUGUUGGUAAGGUAAUGGCUUACCAAGGCGACGAUCAGUAUCUGGUUUGAGAGGAUGAUCAGACACACUGGAACUGAGACACGGUCCAGACUCCUACGGGAGGCAGCAGUGGGGAAUUUUCCGCAAUGGGCGAAAGCCUGACGGAGCAAUACCGCGUGAGGGAUGACGGCCUAUGGGUUGUAAACCUCUUUUUUCAGGGAGGAAUCAAUGACGUGUACCUGAAGAAUAAGCAUCGGCUAACUCCGUGCCAGCAGCCGCGGUAAGACGGAGGAUGCAAGUGUUAUCCGGAAUCACUGGGCGUAAAGCGUCUGUAGGUGGUUUAAUAAGUCAACUGUUAAAUCUUGAGGCUCAACUUCAAAAUCGCAGUCGAAACUAUUAGACUAGAGUAUAGUAGGGGUAAAGGGAAUUUCCAGUGGAGCGGUGAAAUGCGUAGAGAUUGGAAAGAACACCGAUGGCGAAGGCACUUUACUUGGCUAUUACUAACACUCAGAGACGAAAGCUAGGGUAGCAAAUGGGAUUAGAUACCCCAGUAGUCCUAGCCGUAAACAAUGGAUACUAGAUGUCGAACAGAUCGACCUGUGCAGUAUUAAAGCUAACGCGUUAAGUAUCCCGCCUGGGAAGUAUGCUCGCAAGAGUGAAACUCNAAGGAAUUGACGGGGGCCCGCACAAGCGGUGGAGCAUGUGGUUUAAUUCGAUGCAACGCGAAGAACCUUACCAGGGUUUGACAUGAUACGAAUUUCUUUGAAAGAAGAAAGUGCCGUUUGGA
rnacentral:rRNA from 1 species